ensembl:snoRNA SNORA70 Small nucleolar RNA SNORA70
CUGCAGCCAAAUAAGCCCACCAGGUUCCUUUGCACAUAGAAGCUGAUAUGCAAUGGCCGCAAAUAGCAAAUAGCCUCCUUAGUAGUAUACCUAGUCUGUUGUUUGUAUGGUUGACCUAGAGGACCUUGAAGACAGAG